CCCUGGUGGCUCAGACAGUAAAGAAUCUGCCUGUAAUGCAGAAGACCCAGGUUCGGUCCCUGGACCAGGAA
rnacentral:tRNA from 1 species